AUUGAACGCUGGCGGCAGGCCUAACACAUGCAAGUCGAACGAGUGGCGGACGGGUGAGUAAUGUCUGGGAAACUGCCCGAUGGAGGGGGAUAACUACUGGAAACGGUAGCUAAUACCGCAUACCAUCGGAUGUGCCCAGAUGGGAUUAGCUAGUAGGUGGGGUAACGGCUCACCUAGGCGACGAUCCCUAGCUGGUCUGAGAGGAUGACCAGCCACACGGGAACUGAGACACGGUCCAGACUCCUACGGAGGGCAGAAGUGGGAAAUAUUGCACAAUGGGCGCAAGCCUGAUGAAGCCAGGCCGGUGGUAUGAAGAGGGCCUUGGGGUGGAAAAUUACUUUCAGCGAGGGGGCGUAACUGGCAAAAGAAGCACCGGAUAACUCCGUGCCAGCAGCCGCGGAAAUA
rnacentral:rRNA from 1 species